UAAUACGUAGGGUGCGAGCGUUGUCCGGAAUUAUUGGGCGUAAAGAGCUCGUAGGCGGUGUGUCGCGUCGGCCGUGAAAACCUGGGGCUCAACUCUGGGCGUGCGGUCGAUACGGGCAUCACUAGAGUUCGGCAGGGGAGACUGGAAUUCCUGGUGUAGCGGUGAAAUGCGCAGAUAUCAGGAGGAACACCGGUGGCGAAGGCGGGUCUCUGGGCCGAUACUGACGCUGAGGAGCGAAAGCAUGGGUAGCGAACAGGAUUAGAUACCCUGGUAGUCCAUGCCGUAAACGUUGGGCGCUAGGUGUGGGGUCCAUUCCACGGGUUCCGUGCCGCAGCUAACGCAUUAAGCGCCCCGCCUGGGGAGUACGGCCGCAAGGCUA
rnacentral:rRNA from 1 species